rnacentral:tRNA from 1 species
GGGGCCAUAGCUCAGAUGGGAGAGCGCAACGCUGGCAGCGUUGAGGUCAACGGUUCGAUCCCGUUUGGCUCCACCA